rnacentral:hammerhead_ribozyme from 1 species
AUCCAGCUGAAGAGUCCUAAAUAGGACAGAAUGUACAUCUUGGAU